UCGGGAGUGCCCUGGCAGCUGUGACGUCACACCGCGACACCGUUCGCGUGUACUACGUCAUCAUUCCCAUUACGUCAUCGCGAGAGCGGGGCGGGAAAAACAGUCGCUCAGGCCCCGCCCCUUUUCCCGCCUCCGUGAGGGGCGGUUCCGCCACGCUCAAGAUGGCGCCGUCACCACGGUAACCGCGAGGGGGCGGGGCUUCCGCCACACCAAAAAUGGCGGCGGGGGCGGGACUGGGAGCCCGCUGGGAUGGACUGGGAGGAACUGGGAGGGACUGGGAGGGACUGGGAGCUCCAGCAUUCCCGCCAAAAAAACCUGGAGCCCCCAGACUCAUUUUGUGACUGGGGGGGGGCUCAAAUCCUCUCUCAAAUGGGACCCCAAACCACCGAAUCCUCCUCCAGGACACUUCGGGGGUUUUAUUGUCACACUUGGGGGUUUUAUUGUCACAUUUGGGGGUUUUAUUGUCACACUUGGGGGUUUUAUUGUCACAUUGGGGGUUUUAUUGUCACAUCUGAGGGUUUUAUUGUCACCCUUGAGGGUUUUAUUGUCACACCUGGGGUUUUAUUGUCACACUUGGGGGUUUUAUUGUCACACCUGGGGGCUGUUUCACCCCAAAACUUCCUCAAUCUUCCUCAAAACCUCCCCAAACGCUGGCGCCUUCACCCCGAACCCCUUGGUGACAACCCCUUCCCUCCUCCUCUCCUCCCCCCACCCGCUCUGGAGCAUUUUGGAGUCCCGGAAGAGCAAAACUGAGGCGAAAAGCGCCAAAUUCGGGUGUUGGAAGAAAAAUCCGUUACGAGAAAUGCGGACAGAGCGCAUGCACAAGAAGGAGGCGGAACCGCGCAUGCGCCGAUACGCUCGGCGCGGCCGCGCACGCGCACUGCGCGCCGUAGCCGUUAAGCGCCACCAUCCGGGGCCUGGCGGGCGCCAUCUUUGUGGCGGGUGGAGGAGACGCGUCCAAAAUGGCGGCUCCCAAGCGCCAGUAGCCGGCGCGGCGGGCGGGCCUUUCUCAGCUUUGUGCGCGGCGGCGGCGGCCCGGAGCGAGCGGCGGCGGCGGCGGAAAGCGGCGCUCGGGGUCGGCGGGCGGCGGGUGGCUGCAGGCGCCGCCAUCUUGCGCUCGCGGCGAGGAGGAGGAAGAGGAGGAGGAGGAGGAGGAAGAUCCGGGCACCGGGCGGCGCCAUCUUGGACCCCCCCUUCCCACAGCAGAGCGCCGCCAUCUUGUGACCCCUCCCCCGCGCAGCCGGGCACCGGCCGCUCCGCCGCCUUGGAGCCUCUGCGGUAGCGGAGCCGCACCCGGUAAGGGCGGAACGAAGCGAGGAGCGGCGGGAGGGAGGGGAGGGAGCGCGGGGGCUCCGUGGGGGCCGACACCGAUCACGGGUUCCGCCGGAUGGGCGGCGCCAUCUUGGGAGGGGACGUGCGGGGUGUCAUGGCGGCGCCGUGCCCCGACAUCCGGGUCCUUCCCCCCCUUCCACCGCCCCCGGGGCGCCAUCCUGGGAGGGGCCGCCGCAUCCGGGUCCCGCGCGCCGCCAUCUUGAGCGUCCGGGGGGGUUUUUGGGGGGGCGAUGGCAGCGCCGGGGGUCCCCGAACCGUUUGAAUCGCUCGGAACCGCGGGGCCGUGAGGCCUCAGAGCGGCCCCGGUGUCCCGUUAACCCCGGGGGGGGCGGUGGGGAAAGCGGGAGAGCCCCGGGGCAGAGGAAGAGGAGGAGGAGGAGGGGGCGCGGUUCGCGGAGGAGGUGGUACCCGAGGAGAGGCGGGGCGCCCAAGAUGGCGGCGCCCAUGGCGGGCUGAGUGCUCCGUACAGCGCUGCGCCGCCGGGAAACGGGCUGUGCCGCCGGCAGCCAGGCCGCGGGGGAUUCGGUGUGUGCGGGGGGACGAGGCCGGGAGUGUCGGGGAGCGGUUACGGGGCCGCGGGGAGGCUCGGAGGGGGCGGCACCGGGAGAUGGCGGCGCUCGGGGUGGGGGGGGCGAGCAGUGGGGAAAAGCGCGUAAAAGGCGGGAUAAGGGGGGCGGCGGCUCCUUUAAGAGGCGGGUGAAGUGGGCGUGGUCACGCCCUUCCGUGACCACGCCCCUCCGCCGUUCGCGCCGGCCCCGCCGCCACCGGGCCCGGUCCGGAGGCCACCGAGAUGACGGUGAAACUCCUCCCGGUCCCCCCCACAAAAUGUCGCCGCCUCCUCCCUUUCCACCCUCCCCACAAUGUCGCCCCCCGUCCGCGGCCAAGAUGGCGCCGCCCGGGUCCGGAGGGGGCGUGUCCGCGCCGGCCCCGCCCACUCCCGUCGCUUCCCG
rnacentral:lncRNA from 1 species